CCUACGGGUGGCAGCAGUAGGGAAUAUUGCUCAAUGGGGGAAACCCUGAAGCAGCAACGCCGCGUGGAGGAUGAAGGUUUUCGGAUUGUAAACUCCUUUCGUUAGAGAAGAUAAUGACGGUAUCUAACGAAUAAGCACCUGCUAACUCCGGGCCAGCAGCCGCGGUAAUACGGAGGGUGCAAGCGUUACUCGGAAUCACUGGGCGUAAAGAGCGCGGAGGCGGGAUAGCAAGUCAGAUGUGAAAUCCUAGGGCUUAACCAUAGAACUGCAUUUGAAACUGUUAUUCUAGAGUAUGGGAGAGGUAGGUAGAAUUCUUGGUGUAGGGGUAAAAUCCGUAGAGAUCGAGAGGAAUACUCAUUGCGAAGGCGACCUGCUAGAACAUGACUGACGCUGAGGCGCGAAAGCGUGGGGAGCAAACAGGAUUAGAUACCCCUGUAGUC
rnacentral:rRNA from 1 species